rnacentral:rRNA from 2 species
GCGAAAUGCGAUACUUGGUGUGAAUUGCAGAAUCCCGUGAACCAUCGAGUCUUUGAACGCAAGUUGCGCCCGAAGCCGUCAGGCUGAGGGCACGUCUGCCUGGGCGUCACG